AACGAACGCUGGCGGCAGGCCUAAUACAUGCAAGUCGAACGAACCUUCGGGUUAGUGGCGCACGGGUGCGUAACGCGUGGGAAUGUACACCUUGGUAAGGAAUAACUGCUGGAAACGGUAGCUAAUACCUUAUAAUGACUCCGGUCCAAAGAUUUAUCGCCAAGGAAUCAGCCCGCGUUAGAUUAGCUAGUUGGUGAGGU
rnacentral:rRNA from 1 species